GAUGAACGCUGGCGGCGUGCCUAAUACAUGCAAGUCGAGCGAACGGACGAGAAGCUUGCUUCUCUGAUGUUAGCGGCGGACGGGUGAGUAACACGUGGAUAACCUACCUAUAAGACUGGGAUAACUUCGGGAAACCGGAGCUAAUACCGGAUGAUAUUUUGAACCGCAUGGUUCAAAAGUGAAAGACGGUCUUGCUGUCACUUAUAGAUGGAUCCGCGCUGCAUUAGCUAGUUGGUAAGGUAACGGCUUACCAAGGCAACGAUGCAUAGCCGACCUGAGAGGGUGAUCGGCCACACUGGAACUGAGACACGGUCCAGACUCCUACGGGAGGCAGCAGUAGGGAAUCUUCCGCAAUGGGCGAAAGCCUGACUGAGCAACGCCGCGUGAGCGAUGAAGGUCUUCGGAUCGUAAAACUCUGUUAUUAGGGAAGAACAUAUGUGUAAGUAACUGUGCACAUCUUGACGGUACCUAAUCAGAAAGCCACGGCUAACUACGUG
rnacentral:rRNA from 1 species